rnacentral:rRNA from 1 species
AUUGAACGCUGGCGGCAGGCCUAACACAUGCAAGUCGAACGGUAGCACAGAGAGCUUGCUCUCGGGUGACGAGUGGCGGACGGGUGAGUAAUGUCUGGGAAACUGCCCGAUGGAGGGGGAUAACUACUGGAAACGGUAGCUAAUACCGCAUAACGUCGGAAGAUCAAAGUGGGGGACCAUCGGGCCUCACACCCACGGACGUGCGCAGAUGGGAUUAGCUAGUAGGUGGGGUAAUGGCUCACCUAGCCGACGAUCCCUAGCUGGUCUGAGAGGAUGACCAGCCACACUGGAACUGAGACACGGUCCAGACUCCGACGGGAGGCAGCAGUGGGGAAUAUUGCACAAUGGGCGCAAGCCUGAUGCAGCCAUGCCGCGUGUAUGAAGAAGGCCUUCGGGUUGUAAAGUACUUUCAGCGGGGAGGAAGGCGGUGAAGUUAAUAACUUCACCGAUUGACGUUACCCGCAGAAGAAGCACCGGCUAACUCCGUGCCAGCCGCCGCUGUAA